rfam:Schistosoma mansoni, Puerto Rico, WGS project CABG01000000 data, contig: 0243
CUCAGGAUCGCCGAGCAAUCCAAGGCGCUGUGUUCAGGUCGCAAUCUACUCCGUGGGCGUGGGUUCGAAUCCCACUUCUGACA